GACGAACGCUGGCGGCGUGCUUAACACAUGCAAGUCGAACGGAAAGGCCCUGCUUUUGUGGGGUGCUCGAGUGGCGAACGGGUGAGUAACACGUGAGUAACCUGCCCUUGACUUUGGGAUAACUUCAGGAAACUGGGGCUAAUACCGGAUAGGAGCUCCUGCUGCAUGGUGGGGGUUGGAAAGUUUCGGCGGUUGGGGAUGGACUCGCGGCUUAUCAGCUUGUUGGUGGGGCAGUGGCUUACCAAGGCCUUGACGGGUAGCCGGCCUGAGAGGGUGACCGGCCACAUUGGGACUGAGAUACGGCCCAGACUCCUACGGGAGGCAGCAGUGGGGAAUAUUGCACAAUGGGCGGAAGCCUGAUGCAGCAACGCCGCGUGCGGGAUGACGGCCUUCGGGUUGUAAACCGCUUUCGCCUGUGACGAAGCGUGAGUGACGGUAAUGGGUAAAGAAGCACCGGCUAACUACGUG
rnacentral:rRNA from 1 species